UACGAAGGGGGCUAGCGUUGCUCGGAAUUACUGGGCGUAAAGCGCACGUAGGCGGCUUUCUAAGUCGGGGGUGAAAUCCUGGAGCUCAACUCCAGAACUGCCUUUGAUACUGAAGAUCUUGAGUUCGGGAGAGGUGAGUGGAACUGCGAGUGUAGAGGUGAAAUUCGUAGAUAUUCGCAAGAACACCAGUGGCGAAGGCGGCUCUCUGGGCCUUUCCUGACGCUGAGACGCGAAAGCGUGGGGAGCGAACCGG
rnacentral:rRNA from 1 species